GAUGAACGCUAGCGGCAGGCCUAACACAUGCAAGUCGAGGGGCAGCACAGAAACAGCAAUGUUUUGGUGGCGACCGGCGGACGGGUGCGUAACGCGUAUGCAACCUACCUUUAACAGGGGGAUAACGGAGAGAAAUUUCCACUAAUACCCCAUAACAUCGAUCAAGGCAUCUUGAUUGGUUGAAAACUCCGGUGGUUAAAGAUGGGCAUGCGUUGUAUUAGGUAGUUGGUGAGGCAAUGGCUCACCAAGCCUACGAUACAUAGGGGGACUGAGAGGUUAGCCCCCCACACUGGUACGGAGACACGGACCAGACUCCUACGGGAGGCAGCAGUGAGGAAUGUUGGUCAAUGGGGGCAACCCUGAACCAGCCAUGCCGCGUGCAGGAAGACGGCUCUAUGAGUUGUAAACUGCUUUUAAACAGGGAUAAAGCACAGUAUGUAUACUGUGUUGAAGGUACUGUAAGAAUAAGGAUCGGCUAACUCCGUGCCAGCCGCCGCCGUAA
rnacentral:rRNA from 1 species